UAUAUGUUCAAUCCAGUGUUUUUCACUCAUUUUUACUGUCCUAAAGAAUCUUCCCAUUAGAAGCGAAAGCUUGCCAUAACGUAAGAAAGGUCUAGUUAAAUAAGAAGUGUUAAUUAUUGUGGAGAAUAUCAAAGGUUCUCAUUUGUAUAAGCUUAAUGAUAGUGUUUCUCACAUCAAAUUAAACAGAUCAAACCAAUUGUCGUAUUCGACAUUCUGUGAAAUCUGUAAACAAGGUGUGACAGAAUAAAGUGUGUUACUUAAUUA